rnacentral:lncRNA from 1 species
GUCCAAAUAGUAUUUAAAUUCUAAAUUUUAAAUAUUAACUAUUUCGAUGGGGGCAUCUAAAAAUUGCUUUGAGGGCGCCAAAGUGCCUGCAGGCACCUCGUUGCUGACCCCUGGAUUACAGAAAACAGUUUAACUCACAGGGUGUUAUAGUGAUUGGGGACAUAACUUUAACCUAUUAUGUAGAAGAACUCUUAGUAAAAAGUCUUUUGUAUGCUAUUCAGUAUACCAACAAUAUUGAAAAUGUUAUACCCAACAUUGAUCAGUUAUGCAACCAUUUGAUGAUGAUGAUGAUAAAAAUAGAAUUAGGUAGAGAAUGAUCAAAGAAAGUAACACACAGUCAGUUAAAUAGAAAAUGCCCAGAAUAUUAUAGGAAAAAAGCUUUCAUAGAUAGAAUGAUUAAAUGGUUCCAGGAGCAAUAUAUUAUCAUAACUAGGGAAGAUAAAAUAAAAAAACUGGCCAUUAUUAGAUGUGAAAAUAACAAGAAAUUACUUUUGUUUAUCAAUGACUGGGGCCUUUGCUGCAGCAUGUCACAACAGUCUUUAACAUCCAAAGUGGAUUGGCUUCUAAAAUAUAAAAGUUUUACACUUGAGGGUUUUCCUGCACUCAAGGGAAAUAUAGUUCGUAACUGUAAUUGUUCCUAGUUCAUUUGAUUUAUAAAAUCAUAGAAACUCCGUGGGAAUUUGUGUGUGACUGAAACAUGUCACUCUCCACUUACUAAAAUCAAAAUACUCUAUCUUAAUCUAUAUUAUUAGAUUAACCCAUUGAAGUCCAUCAAUAUUUACAAAAUAAACCUAAUUAAUUAGC